AUUGCCUCAGUAACGGCGAGUGAAGCGGCAACAGCUCAAAUUUGAAAUCUGGCCCCAGGCCCGAGUUGUAAUUUGCAGAGGAUGCUUUUGGCGCGGUGCCUUCCGAGUUCCCUGGAACGGGACGCCAUAGAGGGUGAGAGCCCCGUCUGGUUGGACACCAAGCCUUUGUAAAGCUCCUUCGACGAGUCGAGUAGUUUGGGAAUGCUGCUCUAAAUGGGAGGUACAUGUCUUCUAAAGCUAAAUACCGGCCAGAGACCGAUAGCGCACAAGUAGAGUGAUCGAAAGAUGAAAAGCACUUUGGAAAGAGAGUUAAACAGCACGUGAAAUUGUUAAAAGGGAAGCGUUUAUGACCAGACGUGGGCCGGUUAAUCAUCCAGCGUUCUCGCUGGUGCACUUUGCCGGUCCAGGCCAGCAUCAGUUCGCUGCGGGGGAUAAAGGCUUUGGGAAUGUAGCUCCUCGGAGUGUUAUAGCCCUCUGCGUAAUACCCUGCGGCGGACUGAGGUUCGCGCUCUGCAAGGAUGCUGGCGUAAUGGUCAUCAACGACCCGUCUUGAAACACGGACCAAGGAGUCGUCUUCGUAUGCGAGUGUUCGGGUGUAAAACCCCUACGCGAAAUGAAAGUGAACGCAGGUGAGAGCUUCGGCGCAUCAUCGACCGAUCCUGAUGUUCUCGGAUGGAUUUGAGUAAGAGCAUACGGGGCCGGACCCGAAAGAAGGUGAACUAUGCCUGUAUAGGGUGAAGCCAGAGGAAACUCUGGUGGAGGCUCGCAGCGGUUCUGACGUGCAAAUCGAUCGUCAAAUAUGGGCAUGGGGGCGAAAGACUAAU
rnacentral:rRNA from 2 species